rnacentral:rRNA from 1 species
UACGUAGGGGGCUAGCGUUGUCCGGAAUCAUUGGGCGUAAAGCGUGCGCAGGCGGCUUUGCAAGACAGAUGUGAAAUCCCCGGGCUUAACCUGGGAACUGCAUUUGUGACUGCAUGGCUGGAGUGCGGCAGAGGGGGAUGGAAUUCCGCGUGUAGCAGUGAAAUGCGUAGAUAUGCGGAGGAACACCGAUGGCGAAGGCAAUCCCCUGGACCUGUACUGACGCUCAGGCACGAAAGCGUGGGGGAGCAAACGAGGAUUAGAAAACCCGG